rnacentral:rRNA from 1 species
GUUUGAUCCUGGGUCAGGAUGAACGCUAGCGGCAGGCUUAACACAUGCAAGUCGAGGGGUAUAAGUCUUCGGACAUAGAGACCGGCGCACGGGUGCGUAACGCGUAUGCAAUCUACCUUUUACAGAGGGAUAGCCCAGAGAAAUUUGGAUUAAUACCUCAUAGUAUUAUGAAAUGGCAUCAUUUUAUAAUUAAAGUCACAACGGUAAAAGAUGAGCAUGCGUCCCAUUAGCUAGUUGGUAAGGUAACGGCUUACCAAGGCUACGAUGGGUAGGGGUCCUGAGAGGGAGAUCCCCCACACUGGUACUGAGACACGGACCAGACUCCUACGGGAGGCAGCAGUGAGGAAUAUUGGACAAUGGGCGCAAGCCUGAUCCAGCCAUGCCGCGUGCAGGAUGACGGUCCUAUGGAUUGUAAACUGCUUUUAUACGAGAAGAAACACUCCGACGUGUCGGAGCUUGACGGUAUCGUAAGAAUAA